rnacentral:rRNA from 1 species
CCUACGGGAGGCAGCAGUGAGGAAUAUUGGUCAAUGGGCGCGAGCCUGAACCAGCCAUGCCGCGUGAAGGCUGACUGCCUUCCGGGUUGUAAACUUUUUUUAUAAAGGAAUAAAGUGUGACACUUGUUCCUUUUUGUAUUUACUUUAUGAACAAGGAUAGGCUAACUUCGCUCCAGCAGCCGCGGUAAUAAGGAGGAUCCGAUCGUUGUCCGGAUGUAUUGGGUGUAAAGGGAGCGUAGCUGGGUUGUUAAGUCAGAUGUGAAAGUUUGCGGCGCAACCGGAAAAUUGCAAUUGAUCCUGGCAAGCUGGAGUGCCGGAGAGGGCAGCGGAAUUCCAUGUGUAGCGGUGAAAUGCGUAGAUAUAAGGAAGAACACCAGUGGCGAAGGCGGAUGACUGGACGGCAACUGACGGUGAGGCGCGAAAGCGUGGGGAGCAAACAGGAUUAGAUACCCGGGUAGUC